rnacentral:ncRNA from 2 species
UUGAAUAAGGAACGCUGCAACAGGUUAUUCACCUGCUAGGCUUAUUCACGUCGAGAUUUUUAAACUGCGUUCAUUAUUA